rnacentral:rRNA from 1 species
CGGCUUUCCUAUUUUGUUGGUUUCUAGGAGAGCCGUAAUGAUUAAUAGGGACAGUCGGGGGCACUAGUAUUCAGCUGUCAGAGGUGAAAUUCUUGGAUUUGCUGAAGACUAACUACUGCGAAAGCAUUUGCCAAGGAUGUUUUCAUUAAUCAGUGAACGAAAGUUAGGGGAUCGAAGACGAUCAGAUACCGUCGUAGGUGAGUUUAAAAGAUAAAAUAUCCAUUGAAAUAAUUUCCAAAGUAUACUAAUUAUAUUUAAUAGUCUUAACCAUAAACUAUGCCGACUAGGGAUCGGUCGAUGUUUUUAUUUUGACUCGAUCGGCACCUUACGAGAAAUCAAAGUUUUUGGGUUCUGGGGGGAGUAUGGUCGCAAGGCUGAAACUUAAAGAAAUUGACGGAAGGGCACCACCAGGAGUGGAGCCUGCGGCUUAAUUUGACUCAACACGG